rnacentral:lncRNA from 1 species
UCGGAACUCUGAAGUAGAAAAUCUCCAAAAAGUGCAGGGGUCUACCACUAGCUGCAAAGAAAGACUCCUGAAAGCUUACUGCGUGGUCAGGAUGAUGCGGAGGAAUGGAAUGAUAUACUGAACAAUAGUGGUAUGUGGGAUAGUGAUGAGAAAAAUCCCAUAAUGCCCACACUUCGGUUGAGUUACUGGUAUUUGCCAACCAAGCUCAAAAAAUGUUUUAGGUACUGUUCUCUUUCCCCAAAAGAUUAUCAGUUUCAGAAGAACAUACUCAUCAAUCUGCGGAUGGCUCAUGGUUAUAUUACUCGAACAGAACAAGGAAAAAAACAACUAGAAGACAUCGGUGAAGAGUAUAUAAAUGAGCUAGUAUCAAGGUCUUUUAUUUGAGCAGUUUGAAGUCAUGAAAUAUUCAUCAUGCAUGACUUGAUCCAUGAUCUGGCAAGAGUUGUUUCACAAUCUGAAUGGUGGAGUGUGGAAGAUGGUGUGUUCUAUGGCAAUAAAGAUGACAACGUUCAUCACUUGUCAGUCAUUUCCACCCUAAAUUAUCCAUGGGAGAAUGUUCAGUGGUCACCACAAAUCCGAUGUCUAUUAUUUUAUAACAGCAUUCUGAGAUGGCCUGAUAUGAAAGACUUAAGAAGCAGGAUGAAGCAGCUAAGAGUUCUUGAUAUCAGUUACACUAGAAUAUUCAUCCUGCCAAAGUGCCAUGAACACUGAAAAAGCUUGAGAUUGUCGAUUGUUAUAACCUGGAGAACUUUCUACUUUGUUCGCUUGAAAGCUUAGAGGGAUUCAGGAUUAUUAGAUGCUCUGUGCUUGCAGCAUUCAUAGAUGUGAACUGUCUGCCGUCAACACUUAGAGUGUUUGAGCUAGAUGCGUUGUGGGUUCGGAGUAUGCUCGGCGUAGAGCCAUACCUUCUGCUAGACAGGUUAAAAGCCCUACAAUGGCUGAACCUUAAAGACAUGACAGUGCUCUGCUUCUCAUACGAGAAAAAUCUGCUGUCAGCAUGGCAAGUGUUUUCCCUCACUGGGUGUCCAAAACUGGAAGAAUGGUGCAACAGGCACAUUGAAAGAUUAAAGGAUAUCGGACUGUUGGAGAGAAGAGAAAUGACAUCAAUCAUAUACUAGUGAAUUACACGAUUUCGACAUUGAUGACUGCUCUAGUAUUCGCAAUGCUUUUGAAUCUUUGGAAAUUAUUUGUUUCCUAGAAUCCUCUCCCGUUCAAAGAUACAAAGGUUGUGAGUGUGAUAUGGAACCUCAGCUUCCCAAUUCAAGCAGACGGUGCAGAUUUGUUGUUUGAACCCAUUCGCCAUACGUGGAGCCUGUUCUGAUUCUCAUCCAUGGUUUGCUUGGGCCUGCAAGGGAACUGACGCCAUUGGAGGCAUUGCUAAUUGCCGACGGAGCCCAUCUUCCUAUCUUUCUCAGAUGCGCUCCGGAUUGGAUAGCGCCAUCUGACUUCCUGCCUCUUUUUGGGUCCUUUGCUUUGAGGCCUGUCACAACGACUCCCCUCUCCUCCAAUCUCUUUUCUGCUCCGGAAAUCUCUUCCGCGGCCAGCGUAUUUCUUCUGUUUUCUGCUCUUCGCUACUCCGCCUCCAGCUGGAGUCAUAGCCCUCGUGGUUGACUCCGAGGGGCUGCCUGAUCUAUUGAAUUGGAAGAAGAACAUCUUCAAGAUAUUCGGACCGUCUGCAGACUAUUUCGCCUGGACGAAUCCGACUGUGGCCUGUAUUCUUCACGUAUACUUCGUCUUCUAUAAACCCCGCCAGCUAUCAUAAAAUCUCACCCUUGAGGUAUUUAUCGUCCCCAAACAUUUGUUCAAACUUUCUUCCUUUAAACCAAAAUUUCCCCUUCGUUGCAUAUAAUGGAUCAAGGAUGAUCUACCGCGGUCCUUUAUUGCCGGUUACUACUGUCCCUUAAUUUUGCUUUUCCUGCCUACUUUGAUGGGAAGAACAUGCUGGCUGAGCAGGGCAGCGUAAGCUGACUGUCCCAACCGCUUCACUAUCUGUGUAGCUGUACAUUUAAGAAAUAUUGUUGCUUUACUGUUUGGUUGACCUGAACUUCAAAUAUAAAGUCCAUUUGUUCCUUAAAUAGAUCCGUAGUUUCCAUGGAACAAAAAUUCAUUUAAAUUAGUGCCGUUUUUCUCCUUAAAACAUAUUGCGGCAUAUUUAGAUGGUAUCGGUUUUUUAUGCUCGAAAGCACAGAGAUAAUAUAACGGCAUCGGUGAGGAGUAUAUAAAUGAACUGGUAUCGAGGUCUUUAUUUGAAAAGUCUAAAUAUCAUCAAAUACUCGAGAGCUUCAUGAUGCAUGACUUGAUCCAUGAUCUAGCGAGAGAUGUUUCAUAGGGUGAAUGGUCCAGUGUGGAGGACGGUGUGUUCUACGGUUAUCAAGAUGACAGUGUUCUGCAUUUUUCAGUCAUUUCCACUGAAAAUCAUCACCUGGAGCAUACUCAGUGGCAGAAAAAAAUUCGAUGUCUAUUAUUUUUCAACAGGAGUAUGCUGAAAGGGUCUUAUAUCAGUGAUUUAUGUAUCAGAAUGAAACAGCUAAGAGUUCUUGAUCUGAGUUGCACUGGAAUAUUGAAACUGCCAGAUUGCAUUAGUGAUUUGAAACAUUUACGUUACCUUAGUCUUCAAGGUAACCCAAUCACAGAGCUCCCUGAAUCCUUGGGGCGCCUAUAUCUCCUGGAAACACUGAAUUUGAAUAAUACUAUGAUCCAUAUUUUGCCUGAUUCAAUUUGCUUCUUGAAACGACUCCGUUAUCUUAGUCUUCGCUCUACACACAUUAGGAAUCUCCCUGAAUCACUAGGGAUUCUCGACCGGCUUCACACACUGAAUGUAGUACAUGCUGAUUGUUAUCUCCCAGAAAGUAUUGCAAAACUGUCAAGUCUGAGGCAGCUCAUCUGCUUGUAUUACUUGGUACUUCCCUCAGACAUUAGAAAACUGACAAAUCUUUAUACAUUACAUGACUAUGAUAAUGGCCGACAUGUUACAGUAAAAGAGUUUGUUGACUUGGUUAAUGUGGAUGAGGCAAAGAAGGCAUCCUCGUACAGCAAGGAACACCUUAAGGUCUUAUCCUUGGUCUGGCAUGACAACCCAUCUUCUACGGCCCAUCAUUUACAUGGGGAGGUGUUAGAGAGCCUCGGGGGGCAUCCCAACCUCAGACAGUUGUACAUGCAAGGAUUUGGGGGAAGUUCUCUUCCAUCUUGGUUAACAAAUCCUAGUUUCCUUUCUUGGCUCAUCCGCAUUGAUUUGAUUAGAUGCGAACAUUUGACGUCACUCCCACCUCUUGAACACUUUCCCCAACUAAGGCAUCUACACAUUGAGUCAGCCAAGAGACUCCAAGAUAUUGGCUCUGUGUUUUCAUCAGCCAAGAACGCUCGCGUCUUGCAUCACAGGUCUCGAUCACCGUCAUAUGUCAGGAUACCCUAUUCAGCGAGCUUUGGAGGGCCAGUGGCCAGUGUUUGUGAAAGGCCUUCUCUCCUCCACACACUUACUAUUGUGGAUUGUCCAGAUGUCUCAUCCUUCUAUGUAGACGGUUUCAAUGCUCUCCGAGUUUUGAAGAUUAUCAGAUGUCCAGAGCUCCAACUUCCUCGCCUUGGAAGGCUUGCAUCUCUCCGGCAUCUGUCUAUAAUAGGAUCCAAUCAAGAUAUUCCUGCUGAUUUUGUUUCUGGAAGUUUUCUACCAUUGGUAAGUCUAGAACUUGAAGAUUUGCCCAAUUGGAGGUCGUGGGGAGGUCCUAAAGAGGAUGAGUGCCCGAACCUUCAAAAGCUUUCUAUUGUGGGUUGUAGCUCUCUUGAGAACUUCUCAAUAAGCUGCCUUGAAUUUAUCAAAGGCAUAUCUGUAAAGGAUUGCCCAUUGUUAAAGGUCUCAAGGUACGAUAGUGAGAGAUUACAUGACAUGGAGAAAUACUGUAAGACAAACAUACAGGAGAUAAAGAUCAUUUCCCAUGGUUAUGACUCGCUGGACGCUAUGGAACAGAGUCAGAGGCUCCCCCUUGACAUUCGUUCGUGGAAUUUAAGAGAUGUAAAGCAUUUAGUCAUCAAUGCCUGCCCCAUCCUUAAAUUCAUUUCUUCAGAAGACCUACCAGCAUCACUAAAAUCUAUUCAGGUAGAUGCAUGUUGGAAUCUGAGAUCUCUUCAGCUAAGCAGCCAACAUGCUCUCAAAUAUUUAAGCAUAAAGAACUGCCAUCGACUCUCACAGGUUGAAUGCAUGUCAUCAAUGUUAUGCUUCCUUGAGAUCGACUCAUCUGACAAAUCACUCUUUUGUCAUCCGGGUAACUUGAGUAAUGUGGAAUACUUGAGUCUCAGAAACUGUGCAUUUGAGUUCUCAGAUGUACUACAACUACCAUCGGCAUUGAAAGUAAUGAAGAUUGACCAGUCGAUAUUGAAAUUACUUGAGAUUGUCAAAUGUUCCAACUCAUUUCCAAUUUAUUGGCUUGAAGGCUUGGAAGAACAAGAGAUUAUUGGAUGUUCUUGGCCUGCUGCAUUUACAAAUGUGAAAUAGCUGCCACCAAGAUUGAAGAAGCUUGAGAUUGUCGAAUGUUCUGACUUGACUUCUUUUUCACUUCACUUAUUUGAAAACUUAGAUGAAUUAAAAAUUAUUAAAUGCUAUGGGCCUACUGCCUUCACAAAUGUGAAGUGGUUGCCAUCAACAUUGAAAAAACUUGAGAUUGAUGGAUUUUCGGAUCACUCUUUCCCUACCUCAAGCAAAUCAGAUGUCUCAAAUAUGAGGAUAUACCUUCCACUAGACUCGUUAUAUGCCGUAGAAUCCCUGAAAAUUAAAGACAGCCCAUGGCUCUGCUUCCUAGAUGAGAAAAGUCUGCCAUCAACACUACAAGAGCUUUAUAUCAUUGGGUGUCCAGAACUAAAUGCAUGGUGCAAAAGGAACAGUCAAAGACUAAGAGAUAUCCGACUGUUAAACAUAGAAGAGGAACAGCAAAAUAAUGAAGACUACGACAAGGAUGAGGACUCCAACGAGGAAGAGACUUGGAUGAGGAAGAGAACGAGGACUAAGAGGAUGAAGGAGUGGAUGAUGAGGAUGAUGAUGUUGAUGAAGAGGACGGCUGGACCUUGAUCCCUAGUCCCAUGAUUGCUCGGGGAUUGGAGAUGAGGCUGAAGAGAUGGUAAGAUACUUCAGAUCUGUAGAGCAUUGGGCACCCAAAUCUUCUGCCCACGUAUGCACCCAGUCUCUAUCCCCUGAUUCAAUUUACGAGAUAAGAGACUGAGGACGAGGUCCGAUUGGAAUAUCUCCUCCUCACCAUUGCAGACCCAGGCAAUCAUCAUUGAUCUCCUGUUUACCUGCAGCAGCUGUCCAUUUCCUCAUGGCCGAAGUGAAAGAACAUCUAUUCCAAUGGUUUGGUUGGCUCUGAAACUGAAAGCCCAAUCUGUUUUCCUACUCUUACGCAUGACAAGAGUCAUCCAAGGAUUGCCUGUGCUUGCAAGGAAACUGACGCCCAUCCUUGUAUCUUUUCCCAAUGCGGUUAUCAUAAGUCAGCGCCAUUUGACUUCCUGGUUUGUGACAGCGAAGCUCAGCCCCACCGUCGACUGCUCCAUUCAACACAUAAAAUAUAACUUUGUAGGAUUCGAUUUGAGAGUUUAACGAAGUAUAUGAUGGAAAAUAUGAGCAGUAAACUCUAUAAAGAAAGUAUUGCAGUUAUAAAGACUCCAAAUUGUCGCACAUAAAAUCCAACAAUAGGAACAGACUAAUGCCUUUAAAAUUUCCUAUCAAUCUGGGGGAAGGAUUGAGCAAGUUUUCGUACGGUGAAUGAGUGCCAAUGGGAAAGACUCCUGGCAUCCACCCCGUCAUCAACAUCCUGAACCGAACCGAGCCUCAAAUCUUGAACGGUGUAGACUACAAGAUUCACAGAGACGGGGCACGUUACCUUCUCCACGAGGGUUGAGCACCGAUAUAGAGCCAACAGCGCAACUGGACGCGCCCUCCGUGGGCCGAAAGCGCGAAGCGAGUGGGGAAGGAAGAGGAGGAAGAAGGGUGGCAGUGUGCGACCUCAAAGAACACUUCCAUAUGGCUACAAGCACCGCAGGUGGAGGUUUCAAAGGGUGGUGGGGGAUCGAAUGUGCUCGAAAAUUCCUA